AGAUAGCAGCAAGAGCAAGCUGGUGUUCGAUCACUGAGUGCACUUUAUACAGGAAAUCAAGAGAAUAAGGCAUCAAAUGUCACUGUUUUCUGAUUUUUUUUUAAAUACGGAGAGAUGUAGAUGGUUAGUCGCAAUUCAAAAUAGUAAAUACAAUGUAAAUACUCCUGCAGCCAACUUUGCAUCGCUGCCUUUGUGUAGCAAGCAGUUCAGCGACGAUGCAUAUGAACAAGAUAUACAAUCUGAAAUUAUGAGGACAGAAAACCAAAGGAUACUAGAAGAUACAACUGUUGCUAAUGUAUUUCCAUGCUCUGGCGCAGUGCCAAAAUACAAAGGCGUGUUUGGGAAGAGAAAGCGACAUAACAAGCGUGCAGAGGGUACCCGCAUGACCCCCAUCCUCCUCAUCUUCCUUACUACUACUCAACGUCUUCAUCACUCAUUACAUGGUCAGGAAAGUAAAGAGAAGCCUGGUGCCUCAGAGAUGUUAUGGGUUCCAGAUCAGAGCCCAGUUACCCGACAUCGAUUGAGCUUAGACUUAUGAGAAUUUUAAUGAUGCACCUUUCCUUCAAUGGCUGAAGAUGUAACAUGUGUUUCCCAAAACACCACGUAGAGAAAAUGUUUGCUAAGUGCGUCAUUGAGGCCUGUGUCGAUACUGAUAGGAUCGAAACAAAGGUAACGCUGCUCUCGGAUCAGCUUUCUCAAUUAAAAUCUUACCUUAACAUGAUAAUUAUUCUCCCUUACUCUUGACAGAUCAGCUCUGAGAGAGAUAUUAUGACUUAUGGCUGAAAAUAUUGAGGAGGCUCAUUCUGGACCCUAAAAUAAAUAUAAUACCCUUUGUACCCUAUAAUAAAUCAAGAUUUGGCACAUUAUUGUGCAACAUGAAAUAUAUUGAGCUGAAAAUGAUAGACACUAGCUAGGUUUUUUCAUCCAAUUGGCGACAGAUUUUCAUGUGAAUAUUGUAAAAUCUGCACAAAGAAAAUAUUUCCACCAAACUGUGUGUGAUGACGUAGUGCACACAAAAUGUACUCAUUGUGUUUCCAUUGCAUUUUCAACUCUCACAAAAGCUGUUGCGUUAAAUAGCAAAUGUGCCUAUUCUGGUCUUGGCACGUGCAUUCUAGCCAACAGCUCGCAGGUGCAUUGCGCUUAGGCUUUUUGGGUAGGCUAGUCUACAUUAUGAGAUUAUUAUGGAUAAGAGAGAGAAUAUUUAUGUUUGUCGAAUGGCAGUCAAGCAUCGAUCAUCACCAGAAUAAGGCCCUCGAUAUUUAUUGGAAAGGAGCUCAAGCUCAUCACCAUGCACUUUCACACUCUUUGAAGUUCAUCACAACAUACAGUAUUUAACUUGUAGAAUAAUAAACUCCAUGGUUUCCUGAGUCGUACUGGGAGGACCUCACACCGUAUCAUCACGUGACUCCAAGUUUAUUUCGAUAUGAUGGUUAUUAUAUAAACAUCUACACUUAAAGGUGUUUCCACUGCCAUUUCUUGUAUGAUUAAUUUUACAGACACAAAAACAUCCCACCAUGUCGAACGAACAAAUUAUCUGUCUGCAUUUAUAAAAUUGUACCGAAACUGCCUGUUUCCAUCACAGCUGCAGUGAUUUUUUUUUUAUACGGUAUGUCUCUCAUAAAAGCUGUGGAUGGAAACGUGGUUAUAAGCCUACAAUUAGCUAAAUAGAACUCAAUUUAAUAUGUUAUAUUCUGAAAACAUGGCAACCAUGUUCUGGGUAUGUUUGGUGGAACGUUGAUGGAAAAUUCUCCUAACCCACAGAAAGUGGACAAAUGACAGUUCUUGCAACGUUCUCAUCAAACCUGUCUAGAACAUUAAUAUCUCAUGUUCUGAGAACAUGGUAAUCACUUUCUGGUUAAAUUCUAUUUGGACUUAAGGGAAUGGUCUCUUGGAAACAUUCCUUGCACUUCACAGGAACAUUCCUAUGACAACGUUAGUUAAUGAUCUAAUGAGAUUCUUAAAGGAACGUUCACUAAAGUUGUGUGAACGUUUUUGUUAGAUGGGAAUCUUCACCCAUUGAAAGCAAUGUAUUAAGUUAAGCCUCAUAUCUGUUGGCAUCAAUAUUGUGACACUAAUAUCCCCUCCCCCCAGUUAAUGCAAUGUAUUCACUUAGGAAACAUCUUUCAUGGUUAUCUCUGCGUUUCAAAAUUGUGACACAUUCCUCCCCAAAUGGCGAAGGUGCAUAAAGAUGGAGAAAUUCAGAUAUUAUGCUAUUGUUUUUAGCACUACCCACAGAGUUCAUAAACAACGGUGUGCAAUAUGGUUCAAUGUGCCAGUAAAUCAGCACAAUCAACUUUUUCGUUUUUUUCAAAUUGCCGCCGUAUUUUGAGCUACAUUUGGGAUUAUAUAUACUGCGCUACUGCUUAUACAACAAAAGAGUAACAGAGAGUAAUGUACAAUACAGCGAACUGAGCAAAUUAAGCAUAUUGUGGUCGCCAUAUUUAUGCACCUUCGCCAUUGAAUGCAAUUUAUACAAAUAAGCAUUGUGUUUAUUUUGCUAAAACGUACCAGAUUGAUUCUUUUCAAUUAUAUUAUGUUGAAAUUUACCACCAUAGAGUUAGAUAGAGGACUAUAGAUGGAUAAAAUCUAUUUGGGCAUGGACAUUGCCAUUUAGGGCUUCACCAUUUUAAAGUAGUCAACUGGGUGGGGCAUCCUAUGGGUGAAGGAAGGACCAAAUGAUUCCAUGCGGGUUAUCACGAGGGAUUAGCGAAUUAAUUAUACUCGUAAGUAAACAUUUCAUAACUUUAGGUGGCAGUAAAUUGCCAUUCUUGACUUUAUACCUCUUCAAUCAACACACUCUAGAUGGCAGUAUGCACCCACUCAGUUUGUUUGCCAACACGUAGAUGUAGUAGAAGAAGAAAAUGGACUGCUUCAAAAUGAAGAUGGUCGCAAUGGUGCUGGCCAUGCGUUCACAGACGCAAUAAUGAGAUAUACAGCAUAAAGAAUAUGUCUUUAUUAUUCUACAUGUUUUCCACAUUUGUCUGGGAGAAAUCCAUGAGUUGAGUCUGACAACAGUUUGUAGCCGGGAACUUAGACCUCUGUAAAGAACACGUGUACAUGUCUGUCCAAAACAGAUGUGAAAGGGUACAGAUAAGAUAUGAGAUGAAAUGCGCUGUAAUGUUUUAUCUUAUCCUUAAUGGUCUGUGUUACUCUUUAUCUGUCUCUCACAGUCUGUCUGUCUGUUGGAUGUUGUUCUCUCUUUCUUCUCUCUCUCUCUUCAUCAGCUUGCCCAACAAAUAAUUGUUGUCACAAGAAUCCAACACCCAACAACCUCAUUAAAAGGCACAAGCUGGUGUGAUUCCUAGAGAGUGCAGAAUGGUCAAUCAAUCCAGAUGCAACAAGUGUUUGUUUUAUAACAUCUAAUAUUGCAGGGACGACUGGUGCCUCAAAACUUUAACAGAUAUAUUUUCUCUGUAGAUAAUGAGACAGACAACUCAAAACUGCUGCAGGUGAUUUACUGUUCAAAAAUCAUGGGUACAAGGAUUUGAAAGAUUUAAGGAUACAUUUACAGGUUUGUGGAACAAGGAGCGUGGAGAUAUCCUACUUGGGCAGACACUCAGGCAACGUUUGUUCCUCUUUAACCGUCCAACAUCAACCUCACUUGAGAUGUGCACACACGUGCACACACACACACACACAGGGAAUCACUUGAUUAUAAGUAAUUGAAGAAUGGAAAUAGAAGAUAUAUUGGCUAUAUGAUUAGGAGUCAUGAUGUGGCUGUGAAGCUAACCAUCUGUACUUUUCUUUUUAGAGGGAGAGAGGAACACCCUCUGACCACCAUACACCAAAACACGUCUUCCCAUCUGUCCUGUCCUCCUGCAACCCCCAACCCCUCGCAAAAUGUGGUUGUUUUAUGGUCUAAACGCUACCAGCGCAGUGCCUCACAACACCUGCAUAGUAAAUCACUUAGGGCUGGGGCUCUGAGGUGUUACAUAAUAGAACCAGCCAGGAGAGCUGGAGAAGACCUAAGGAGGAGUGUCACAGGCCUGGUGGGUGGAGACAGGCAGGGCUGCACAGGAGAGGGGCUGGGGG